UACGUAGGUGGCAAGCGUUGUCCGGAAUUAUUGGGCGUAAAGCGCGCGCAGGCGGUCCUUUAAGUCUGAUGUGAAAGCCCCGGGCUUAACCUGGGAAUGGCAUUGGAAACUGGCUCGCUGGAGUGUGGCAGAGGGGGGUGGAAUUCCGCGUGUAGCAGUGAAAUGCGUAGAGAUGCGGAGGAACACCGAUGGCGAAGGCAGCCCCCUGGGCUAACACUGACGCUCAGGCACGAAAGCGUGGGGAGCAAACAGG
rnacentral:rRNA from 1 species